CUUCGAGCAAGCAAGAUUGGUAAAUGAGAAGAAACUUGAUUUGGGACCAAGUUUGUGGUACUCAGCAAGAGAAGAUCAGCAAAUACUGAACCCCUUGCAUUCAAAUCCAAACAUCAGUAACUACAGUUGCACCGUGCAUACUGUACAGUAGACGACAGAUAUCUUCAAAUAAUUUCAGAAGGCUGAGGGAUGACGAGUGUAGUUUAUGUGAAUUUGUGCCUCUUUUGGGGAACAUGGUGUCCGUUGAAUCACUGCAGUUAUGUUUUGUCAUGAAAACCAAAGAGUACUCCAGAAGGAUUAAUGAUAUAUUGUGAAGAUCAAGUAAGGUUUCUCAAGGGGUGUGCACUAAGAGAUAUUGAAGACUUUGUGCAACUCCGUUUAAUGUGUUUGGGAAUUUCAUAUUCUCACCCAGUCAUAUCACCCUCCAGGAUAUCAUCACUCCUCUUCUUUUUUAUACCGCAGCUCCUUAAAAGCGGCUCCAGAUUUUCAAGGAAUAUUGGAAAGGUGGAAGCCUGGAAUCUCAUUGGAUGUGACCUCUUUGCUGUAGGCCAAAUUGAGGUCUCUUUCUUGUCACUCAGUUCAUUAUGUUUAGGAUUUGACAUCCUUAAUUAAGAAACUUCGACUCAAUUCGUCAAUCACUUCUAUUGUUCGUAAUACUCUAGCUUCUG